ensembl:ncRNA T09A5.19 ncRNA
UCGAUGAGUUCACAUACCUUUUUGAAUAUCAUCAUGAACAGAAUAUUCCCAGAAUAAAAGAAGAAGUUCAGAAUAGAGGGUAACAUCAAAUGUCCGGGAGGGCGGACGGACGAAGGGGGGUUGUGGGAGAAAGGGACGGUCGUAAAUUUAACGACCUUCUGGACGGCGGGACGAGGGGAUUUUCAUUGGAAAACUCGUAAAACGAAGGACACUGGAGGGU